UCUGAGCCGAUGUUGAACCAGCUGA
rnacentral:piRNA from 1 species